rnacentral:sRNA from 1 species
CGUGCCGCAUAGAUCGGGAUACUCUACAUUAAAAAAAUCAAUCGGGCUAGCUUCUCUUGCCAAUGGCGGGCCACAUCCCUCGGGAGAGCAUCGUGAUGCCGGUGGAUUACAACGACGGAGAGCACCCAUAUCGUGUGAAACAGGAGUUUUCACCAAAUCAUCGGCACG